rnacentral:tRNA from 1 species
GCCAGUGUGGCUCAGUGGCUAGAGCAUCGGCCUGGGGACUGAAGGGUCCCAGGUUCGAUUCCGGUCAAGGGCA